UACGGAGGGUGCAAGCGUGUCCGGAUUUAUUGGGUUUAAAGGGUGCGUAGGCGGCCCUGUAAGUCAGUGGUGAAAUACUGCAGCUUAACUGUAGCAUUGCCAUUGAUACUGCAGGGCUUGAGUACAGAUGAGGUAGGCGGAAUUGAUGGUGUAGCGGUGAAAUGCAUAGAUACCAUCAAGAACACCGAUUGCGAAGGCAGCUUACUAAGCUGUAACUGACGCUGAGGCACGAAAAGCGUGGGGAUCGAACAGG
rnacentral:rRNA from 1 species